rnacentral:rRNA from 1 species
CCUACGGGAUGCAGCAGUGAGGAAUAUUGGUCAAUGGACGCAAGUCUGAACCAGCCAUGCCGCGUGCAGGAAGACGGCUCUAUGAGUUGUAAACUGCUUUUGUACGGGGGUAAACGCAGAUACGCGUAUCUGUCUGAAAGUAUCGUACGAAUAAGGAUCGGCUAACUCCGUGCCAGCAGCCGCGGUAAUACGGAGGAUUCAAGCGUUAUCCGGAUUUAUUGGGUUUAAAGGGUGCGUAGGCGGUCGGAUAAGUUAGAGGUGAAAUCCCGGGGCUCAACUUCGGAAUUGCCUCUGAAACUGUCCGGCUAGAGAGUAGGUGCGGUAGGCGGAAUGUAUGGUGUAGCGGUGAAAUGCUUAGAGAUCAUACAGAACUCCGAUUGCGAAGGCAGCUUACCAAGUCACUUCUGACGCUGAGGCACGAAAGCGUGGGGAGCAAACAGGAUUAGAUACCCUAGUAGUC